AUUGAACGCUGGCGGCAGGCCUAACACAUGCAAGUCGAGCGGAUGAAGGGAGCUUGCUCCUGGAUUCAGCGGCGGACGGGUGAGUAAUGCCUAGGAAUCUGCCUGGUAGUGGGGGAUAACGUCCGGAAACGGGCGCUAAUACCGCAUACGGCCUGAGGGAGAAAGUGGGGGAUCUUCGGACCUCACGCUAUCAGAUGAGCCUAGGUCGGAUUAGCUAGUUGGUGGGGUAAAGGCCUACCAAGGCGACGAUCCGUAACUGGUCUGAGAGGAUGAUCAGUCACACUGGAACUGAGACACGGUCCAGACUCCUACGGGAGGCAGCAGUGGGGAAUAUUGGACAAUGGGCGAAUGCCUGAUCCAGCCAUGCCGCGUGUGUGAAGAAGGUCUUCGGAUUGUAAAGCACUUUAAGUUGGGAGGAAGGGCAGUAAGUUAAUACCUUGCUGUUUUGACGUUACCAACAGAAUAAGCACCGGCUAACUUCGUG
rnacentral:rRNA from 1 species